rnacentral:lncRNA from 1 species
UUCAUAUGAUGAAGACAUAAUCUUUCAAUCAGUUUAAUUGAGGUCUGGAGCUGGCAUGUCAGUUAACUGCUAGUAGUCUGUUGUUAUUUAUGUAUUAUUGUCAUUUUAUUUAUUUUCUUUUGUUACAUCUUUUGACACCAGACUCGGAAUUCUCUUGAACUGAAUUUUAAUGUGCGUAUUGUUAUUCUUUUACUUUUCUACAUUGGCUAGAGGUAUAGGGGGAGGGUUGAGAUCUCAUAAACAUGUUUAACCCCGCCGCAAUUUUGCGCCUGUCCCAAG